rnacentral:rRNA from 1 species
AAGCUCGUAGUUGAAUUUCGGGAUCGAAUUGUUGGUCGUGCUUCGGUACGCACUGGCAUUAUCGGUUUCUACCUUCUGAAGAACCGCGAUGUCAUUAAUUUGGUGUCGUGGGGAAUCAGGACUGUUACUUUGAAAAAAUUAGAGUGUUUAAAGCAGGCUUACGCUUGAAUACAUUAGCAUGGAAUAAUGAAAUAGGACGUUUGAUUCUAUUUUGUUGGUUUCUAGGAUCGACGUAAUGAUUAAUAGGGAUAGUUGGG